GUGAAAUGCGUAGAUACCCGGAAGAACACCAAAGGCGAAGGCAGUGUCCUGGCUCGUAUCUGACGCUGAGGAGCGAGAGCUAGGGGAGCGAACAGGAUUAGAUACCCUGGUAGUCCUAGCCGUAAACGAUGACCACUAGGCGUGGGAGGUAUCGACCCCUUCCGUGCCGUCGUUAACACAGUAAGUGGUCCGCCUGGGGAGUACGGUCGCAAGAUUAAAACUCAAAGGAAUUGACGGGGACCCGCACAAGCAGCGGAGCGUGUGGUUUAAUUCGAAGCAACGCGAAGAACCUUACCAGGGCUUGACAUGGACCGGUACAGCGUGGAAACACGCCUCCCUUCGGGGCCGGUUCACAGGUGCUGCAUGGCUGUCGUCAGCUCGUGUCGUGAGAUGUUGGGUUAAGUCCCGCAACGAGCGCAACCCUCGUCGUCGGUUAUCGGUGUCCGAUGAGACUGCCACGUUCAACGUGGAGGAAGGUGGGGAUGACGUCAAGCCAGCACGGCCCUUACGUCCUGGGCGACACACACGCUACAAUGGCCGCGACAACGAGUUGCCAACCCGCGAGGGGGAGCUAAUCUCAGCAAACGCGGUCUCAGUUCAGAUUGUAGGCUGCAACCCGCCUGCAUGAAGUGGGAGUUGCUAGUAACCGUGAGUCAGCACAUCACGGUGAAUCCGUUCCCGGGUCUUGUACACACCGCCCGUCACACCACGAAAGUCGGCAACCCCUGAAGCCGCCAGGCUAACCCUCUUCUCAGGAAGAGGGAGGCAAGCGUCGAGGGUGGGGUCGGUGAUUGGGGUGAAGUCGUAACAAGGUAACCGU
rnacentral:rRNA from 1 species